ensembl:lncRNA ZNF37BP zinc finger protein 37B, pseudogene
AGGUUUGUUUUUCUCCGGUACAGCCUGGGAACGUAGGUCCCGCGCCUGUGAUAAGUAAGAAUCUCGCUGUCUCCUUCCAACCACCUGUGGUCGGCAUCCCCGCGUUGUCACUGCGACGCAGAGGCGAGCGAGGUCGCAGCUUCAUGGCCUGAUGCCUUCAGGAAGUAUUUUGAAGUCAUCGUGGCUGUGGAUUGGGGGAUUUCUUGUUUCCACUGACCUGUGAGGCCGCGCACGUGGAGGGAGGCACCCCGGGUCCUCCGGCACUGUCCGGCCUCGCCUGUGUCCCUAGUAGCAGUGGGCAUUUCCAGACGGUGCAGCUUGUGGCUAAAGUGACAGGAAGAUGUAGGAGCUUUCAGUCUUGGAUGAGGAUUCGAACUGAAGGGCUUAGGCCCAGCUGUCUUGGAGCAAAACAUCUGUUGUGGGAUGUGGCGGCAGAGGAGGGCAAGGCCGAAGGAGCAGACAGCACCGCUUCUUGGGGAGUUGUGAAGGCAUCAUGCGGAGGGCCGAGCUUAGCAGCCAAGUGGAGGACAGCACCCUCCAUGCCUGGAUUCGUUACUCGCUCGUUCUCGAUGUUGAGCUGCUGGCAUAUUGCAGCACAACUAGAGAUGUACGGAUGCCCCCAUCUUGAUCUUACAGAAUCAGAGGUGCAGCCGCAAGAAAGGUCUAGUCAAGAACAGACACUGAGUCGCUUGAGGACUCAGGCAGGUGUUUGCUGCAUUGACAACAGACUACACCCUCUCGGUUUUCUCUGCUCUGCCAACACUAGUGGAAUAUGAUCACAUCCCAGGGAUCAGUGUCAUUUAGGGAUGUGACUAUGGGCUUCACUCAAGAGGAGUGGCAUCAUCUGGACCCUGCUCAGAGGACCCUGUAGAGGAAUGUGAUGCUGGAGAACUACAGCCACCUUGUCUCAGUAGGGUAUUGCAUUCCUAAACCAGAAGUGAUCCUCAAAUUGGAGACAGGCAAGGAGCCAUGGAUAUUAGAGGAAAAAUUUCGAAGCCAGAGUCAUCUGGAAUUAAUUAAUACCAGUAGAAACUAUUCAAGAAUGAAGUUCAAUGAGUUUAACAAAGGUGGAAAAUGUUUCUGUGAUGAAAGCAUGAAAUAAUUCAUUUUGAAGAGGAACCUUCUGAAUAUAAUAACAAUGGGAACAGCUUCUGGCUGAAUGAAGACCUCAUUUGGCAUCAGAAGAUUAAAAAUUGGGAGCAACCUUUUGAAUACAAUGAAUGUGGGAAAGCUUUCCCUGAGAAUUCACUCUUCCUUGUACAUAAGAGAGCUUACACAGGACAGAAAACAUGCAAAUAUACUGAACAUGGGAAAA